rnacentral:rRNA from 1 species
UACGGAGGAUGCGAGCGUUAUCCGGAUUUAUUGGGUUUAAAGGGUGCGCAGGCGGCGUGUCAAGUCAGCGGUAAAAUGUCGGGGCUCAACCCCGGCCGGCCGUUGAAACUGGCGUGCUCGAGUUGGAGAGAAGUAUGCGGAAUUCGUGGUGUAGCGGUGAAAUGCAUAGAUAUCACGAAGAACCCCGAUUGCGAAGGCAGCAUACCGGCUCCACACUGACGCUGAGGCACGAGAGCGUGGGUAUCGAACAGG